rnacentral:lncRNA from 1 species
CUGUCCCAGGUCUUGGGUAGGACCCAUCAUGUGGUGUGUCCCAGAAAUAGCAGUGCCUGGAGCACAGCCCAAGGUGGUGUGGAUGAAGAACAAGAUGGAGAUCCACGAAGAUCCCAAAUUCCUCAUAACCAACUACCAGGGCAUCCUGACCCUGAACAUUCGCCGACCUUCACCCUUCGAUGCAGGGACCUAUUCCUGCCGUGCCUUCAAUGAACUUGGGGAGGCCCUGGCUGAAUGCAAACUGGAUGUCCGAGGUGAGGAGGGAAUGGUCCCACACUGACUGACCCU